UACGUAGGGUGCGAGCGUUGUCCGGAAUUACUGGGCGUAAAGAGCUCGUAGGUGGUUUGUCGCGUUGUUCGUGAAAACUCACAGCUUAACUGUGGGCGUGCGGGCGAUACGGGGCAGACUGGAGUACUGCAGGGGAGACUGGAAUUCCUGGUGUAGCGGUGGAAUGCGCAGAUAUCAGGAGGAACACCGGUGGCGAAGGCGGGGUCUCUGGGCAGUAACUGACGCUGGAGGAGCGAAAGCGUGGGGAGCGAACAGG
rnacentral:rRNA from 1 species